rnacentral:lncRNA from 1 species
GGGGAACCUGGGGCCAUGUUACCCCUCUCUGAGCACCUCCCUAUCUGGGCCCCUGAAGGGGCUCUGCCCCAGUUUUGAGGGGCAGAGGACCCCUCUUCCAGGCUCAGGUUCAGAGCUGGCUUCUCCAGAGUUGGAAGAAGAGACCACUCACCUGUAAUUUCAACAGCAACAAAAGACCUGAGGUUCCACCAUCAGAACUUCACGCCCUAAGGAAGAUGCAGCAUUUCCUGUAAAAUGCAAGUGCUCCCAGGCAGAGGUAGCUCCUGAAGACAUGAUCAGUUAUGUAUACCUUAGUGGCAGCUGAUUAAUAGACCCUUCCCAAGAGCCAGCUGACAGGAAGCACAUCGGGGUAAAAGGGAAGAUGAAAACUUGGGUGCCUGGAGGAAGGGAACAAAUGCGAGCAGGAGCAUGGUAAUAACAUAGGUA